UCACAGCCAGUUUGAUGGGCUA
rnacentral:miRNA from 1 species